AUUGAACGCUGGCGGCAUGCCUUACACAUGCAAGUCGAACGGCAGCGGGCCUUCGGGUGCCGGCGAGUGGCGAACGGGUGAGUAAUGCAUCGGAACGUGCCAUUGAGUGGGGGAUAACGUAGCGAAAGUUGCGCUAAUACCGCAUAUUCUGUGAGCAGGAAAGCAGGGGGACCGCAAGGCCUUGCGCUCUUUGAGCGGCCGAUGUCAGAUUAGCUAGUUGGUGAGGUAACGGCUUACCAAGGCGACGAUCUGUAGCGGGUCUGAGAGGAUGAUCCGCCACACUGGAACUGAGACACGGUCCAGACUCCUACGGGAGGCAGCAGUGGGGAAUUUUGGGACAAUGGGGGCAACCCUGAUCCAGCCAUGCCGCGUGAGUGAAGAAGGCCU
rnacentral:rRNA from 1 species